GAUGAACGCUGGCGGCGUGCUUAACACAUGCAAGUCGAACGGGAAACCUUUUAUUGAAGCUUCGGCAGAUUUAGCUGGUUUCUAGUGGCGGACGGGUGAGUAACGCGUGGGUAACCUGCCUUAUACAGGGGGAUAACAGUCAGAAAUGGCUGCUAAUACCGCAUAAGCGCACAGAGCUGCAUGGCUCAGUGUGAAAAACUCCGGUGGUAUAAGAUGGACCCGCGUUGGAUUAGCUGGUUGGUGGGGUAACGGCCCACCAAGGCGACGAUCCAUAGCCGGCCUGAGAGGGUGAACGGCCACAUUGGGACUGAGACACGGCCCAGACUCCUACGGGAGGCAGCAGUGGGGAAUAUUGCACAAUGGGGGAAACCCUGAUGCAGCGACGCCGCGUGAAGGAAGAAGUAUCUCGGUAUGUAAACUUCUAUCAGCAGGGAGGAUAAUGACGGUACCUGACUAAGAAGCCCCGGCUAACUACGUG
rnacentral:rRNA from 1 species